GACGAACGCUGGCGGCGUGCUUAACACAUGCAAGUCGAACGGAAAGGCCCUGCUUUUGUGGGGUGCUCGAGUGGCGAACGGGUGAGUAACACGUGAGUAACCUGCCCUUGACUUUGGGAUAACUUCAGGAAACUGGGGCUAAUACCGGAUAGGAGCUCCUGCUGCAUGGUGGGGGUUGGAAAGUUUCGGCGGUUGGGGAUGGACUCGCGGCUUAUCAGCUUGUUGGUGGGGUAGUGGCUUACCAAGGCUUUGACCGGUAGCCGGCCUGAGAGGGUGACCGGCCACGUUGGGACUGAGAUACGGCCCAGACUCCUACGGGAGGCAGCAGUGGGGAAUAUUGCACAAUGGGCGGAAGCCUGAUGCAGCAACGCCGCGUGCGGGAUGACGGCCUUCGGGUUGUAAUCCGCUUUCGCCUGUGACGAAGCGUGAGUGACGGUAAUGGGUAAAGAAGCACCGGCUAACUACGUG
rnacentral:rRNA from 1 species